rnacentral:rRNA from 1 species
AUUGAACGCUGGCGGCAGGCCUAACACAUGCAAGUCGAGCGGAUGAAGGGAGCUUGUUCCUGGAUUCAGCGGCGGACGGGUGAGUAAUGCCUAGGAAUCUGCCUGGUAGUGGGGGAUAACGUCCGGAAACGGGCGCUACUACUGCAUACGACCUGAGGGAGAAAGUGGGGGAUCUUCGGACCUCACGCUAUCAGAUGAGCCUAGGUCGGAGUAGCUAGUUGGUGGGGUAAAGGCCUACCAAGGCGACGAUCCGUAACUGGUCUGAGAGGAUGAUCAGUCACACUAGAACUGAGACACGGUCCAGACUCCUACGGGAGGGAGCAGUGGGGAAUAUUGGACAAUGGGCGAAAGCCUGACCCAGCCAUGCCGCGUGUGUGAAGAAGGUCUUCGGAUUGUAAAGCACGUUAAGUUGGGAGGAAGGGCAGUAAGUUAAUACCUUGCUGGUUUGACGUUACCAACAGAAUAAGCACCGGCUAACUUCGUG